UAAGGUUGAGGGUUUGACCCUGGUUAGAACACAUACAGGAAUCAACCAAUGAAUGCAUGAAUAAGUGGAACAAAUCGAUUUCUCUACAGAUAGAAAAG